CGCACCGCCGCCCGCGCCCUCACCAGGUGACUCUGCCUGCUCCUCACUGUGAGCCCCCUGGUGCCCUAGGGAUGGCCUGGGACAAGCUCCAGGAGCCUUG
rnacentral:sRNA from 1 species